UACGAGAGGCCCAAACGUUAUUCGGAAUUACUGGGCUUAAAGAGUUCGUAGGCGGCAUUGCAAGUAGGGUGUGAAAGCCCUCGGCUCAACCGAGGAAUUGCGCUCUAAACUGCAGUGCUCGAGGAAGCUAGAGGUGAGCAGAACAGAUGGUGGAGCGGUGAAAUGCGUUGAUAUCAUCUGGAAUACCGGAGGCGAAGGCGGCUCACUGGGGCUUUUCUGACGCUGAGGAACGAA
rnacentral:rRNA from 1 species